GGGGGUGGGGGAGCUAUUUAAAGUUCACUCGGUGAGUGGAGGGAACAUAAGGAAGCUUUCCGUUGUUGGCUCGCACCUCAUCCCGCUCCCUUAGCAGUCCUCUUGGAGUCAGUUUCCCAUCAUGGGUGUGAAGAUGCUGCAGUGUUUCCCCUUCUACAGACACUGCAAAGAGCGUUGCAAAAACAAAGGCUACCCCACAGCGGCAGAGGAGAGGAAUCUCCGCGUGGCCUCCAGCGAGUCGUGGGGCAGCGACGGCCUCUCUCGGGGCUCGAACGUCUAUUUCUCCUCCAAAGCCAGGAUGUCUUUUCGACACCAACUGGACAGCAACGUCAACGCGGUGGAUGCCACCGACUGAGCCAGCGAGCGUGUCGCGACAGCAAAGUACGCGCCGGCGGCUCACGUUCGAGUUCUGAGCGCUGUGAUGGUGCCUGUGAACUUUUAACACUUGACAACAAGCAGCAAAGUUUGGCCGGCCGAUAGUGAGCGAUUCUUACCAAAAAAAGUGGCUUCAAGAUGGUUCACGCCGCUCCCGGCUGAAGCUGACUCAAGAACUAAACAAAACUAACAAGGAUAGAAGUACACUUUGUGUUUGAAAACAACCACGUCAGCCUAAUUUAGCUUUUAUGCUAACGCAAUGCUAAGCACCAUUGACAUGCUAACGGUUAGCAUCGAUCAUCGGAGGUUUAGAAGAUACACAUGUAGAAUACGACAGGAAUCGCGGACAUCUAUUCUUUAACCGCAACAAAAAAUAAUGAGUAGCUUUCUUCUUCGUUGGUUUCUAGAUAACUCUUGUAACAGCACUGCCACCCGGCGGUCAAGCCGGGAAUACUAGAAGGAGCGACAUACUGAACUGGAUUGCAGCAUUAAAUCAGUUUCAUUAUUUACAUUCUAUUUAAUUAUGUCAUUAGGCUACAUUUUUAUCAAGUGCAAUAUUAUAGAUUGCUAGUUUUCCUUAUUAAAAAAAGUAACAUUUUUUGCCUUUUCAA